UUGGGAGGACNUGCUGUGCGCUUUUACNAGUGCCGGCUUUCCUUGCUUAGAUCUUCAAGUCUAUGUUUUUCAUAUACCCCAUUGUAUGUAACAGAAUGUAUCAAUGAGCCUUGUGCUUAUAAACUAUAUACAACUUUCAACAACGGAUCUCUUGGCUCUCGCAUCGAUGAAGAACGCAGCGAAAUGCGAUAAGUAAUGUGAAUUGCAGAAUUCAGUGAAUCAUCGAAUCUUUGAACGCACCUUGCGCUCCUUGGUAUUCCGAGGAGCAUGCCUGUUUGAGUGUCAUUAAAUUCUCAACCUUAUUGGCUUUUGCUGAUAAUGGCUUGGAUUUGGGGGUCUUUUGCUGGCUUUCACAAGUCAGCUCCCCUUAAAUGUAUUAGCUGGUGCCUCUGGUUAACCAUCUAUUGGUGUGAUAAUUAUCUACGCCGUGGAUGUUAGCCGUUUUAUAGGUGCACUGCUUCUAACCGUCUGUUCAUUCGGACAAUCUCAUUGACAUUUUGACCUCAAAU
rnacentral:rRNA from 1 species